AUGUUGACCAUCAAGGUGGUGGGCCAGGAGAAGGUGGUCCACCACACCACGAGGAUGACCGACAAGCUCAAGGUCUUCAUGGACGUGUGGUACCACAAGGUGCCCAACGUGACAUAUGGCACCGGCGUCUUCCUCUACGACGGCUUGCGGGUGCGCAGAAAUAUGACCCCGGUGGGCCUUGAGAUGGAGGACGGGGACAUGCUUGAUUUCUUUGAACAUAUGGAUGGUGGAGCUGGACCAUUCAUUGUUGGAUCUAUGUAG
rnacentral:rRNA from 1 species